AGCAGCCGCGGUAAUUCCAGCUCCAAUAGCGUAUAUUAAAGUUGUUGCAGUUAAAAAGCUCGUAGUUGAAUUUCGGGAUUAGUACGCUGGUCGUGCCUUCGGUAUGUACUGGUGUUACUGGUUCCUACCUUCUGACGAACCGUCAUGUCAUUAAUUUGGUGUGGCGGGGAAUCAGGACUGUUACUUUGAAAAAUUAGAGUGUUUAAAGCAGGCUCGCGCUUGAAUACAUUAGCAUGGAAUAAUGAAAUAGGACGUUCGAUCCUAUUUUGUUGGUUUCUAGGAUUGACGUAAUGAUUAAUAGGGAUAGUUGGGGGCAUUAGUAUUCAAUUGUCAGAGGUGAAAUUCUUGGAUUUAUUGAAGACUAACUACUGCGAAAGCAUUUGCCAAGGAUGUUUUCAUUAAUCAAAACGAAAGUUAGGGGAUCGAAGACGAUCAGAUACCGUCGUAGUCUUAACCAUAAACUAUGCCGACUAGGGAUCGGAUGAUGUUAUUUUUAAUGACUCAUU
rnacentral:sRNA from 1 species